rfam:Myotis brandtii contig166588, whole genome shotgun sequence.
GGUGGUUCUUGGGUGACACGCCCCGGAAUCGGGCUCUCUCCUCUCUGGUUCCAGGAACGUCACCCAAGAACCGAG